rnacentral:lncRNA from 1 species
UAGCAGUUCUCAUUUUUUCCCAUUCAGAACAAAUACCAGGCAAAGACUACACAAAACAAAAAUAAACACAGCCAUUGCUUCCAUGUUUAUGGCAACAAAUCCAGCAUUCUAGCUUCCAGCUCAGUCUGCAUUCUGAAUUAGGAUGUGAAUGUGAGAGAAAGACAAAGAGAAGAAAAGUGUGCACAUACACAGCCCCAUUUGUGUAGGAAAGGAGUUGUCUCUGGACAGCCCUAUUUGCUCCCAGGCAUUGGCCCAAGCUCACUUCUAAGAGGGGAGGUGCUGCUCCAGACCUCGCUCGUGCACAACAACUGUUAUCUUCAGGAUGUAUAUUUGUGAGGAAGCUCAUCCCUCCGAGCCACGGGACCCAACGUCAGGGCCACCACACUGCAGGUCAUCUGCAGCCGCUGCUGCUGCUCCUUCUGAAACCCACACCACGAGAGCUCCUUCUCUGUGAGUUUUGUUGUUUGUUUUGGUUUCUUCAUUCAAGUCCUCAUUUGAACAUUUGUGGGCAGCUGCCUGACCAAACACCUCAGCACUGAAAAAAUAUAAAAUAUAUAAUAAAUAAUGCAGAGGAGACUUUAAUAGAAGGAAUUCAACUGUGCUCAGCAGCAUAGAAGGGUGAUAAUCAUUGUGAAGCACACGCACCUAAAUGCCAAUGCAGACUGCCCAGGUGACUUCACAGACACUAUUCCAGAAGCAGUUCUGCACAGCCUGGUGCCUCAGAAACCACAGGCCUUGGCUCGCCAGCAUUCUGCAGGGCUUUGUUUUCAGGAGUUGGAGAACUAUGCAUUUUAAGGACAAAUUCUCAGAGGAUUGGAGUGCUUUGGUGUUCUCAAGACUUCCAUCUCAUGAAGCGUAAAGUUGCAGAAUAGAUCAGCGAAUCACUAGUUUGGAUAUGAGUCACCAAAAGCAAAACACAAACCAUUCCUACUGUAUCACUGCCUCUGUUAGGAAUGACAAAGCACCGUUCAGCAGAUCCUCCCACCCGCUGCUUCCAUGUCCCUGUUUGGAUUGCUCCAGAAGCAGCCGUUUCCGAACCAGCUGCGUGUCUGACAGCAAAUUCCCUGAAGAGCUGUGGAACUAAGCCUCAAGAGAAUUUAUCUAGGGGCAGAAGAGAGAAAGAUUUAUCGUUCAGUCACCCAGAGAAAGAUUUGUUUCAUUGUCACUGGCACAGCUCCGUGCUGUCUGCCUAAAUGAGGAAUGGAGAAGUCAGAGCCUGCCAAAGCUGCAGCCUGCUCGCUGCCCGCACCGCUAGACAGGAAGAGAAGAGACAACCCAGGAGGAGCUGAGCGGUCAGUGCCACCCUCUCGCAGAGCUGCCACAUCCCAGGUGUGCAGUGGUUGGCACACAGCAGCCCUGCUUACCUGGGAGCAUGGCUGAAGCAGGGGGUGGCUGAGGAAAGCAACCCACGCCUUUUUCCCUCAAGACUGCCUCCACUCCGUCCCUUCCUCCUCAGUUCCUGCCUUUUCUUUUCUCUUCCUUUAAACACGCUCAGCCCUCACAGCUGCUCCCUCCUCAUCGCCUCAACCAUCAAAUCUCCUCUGCAGCACAUGGGCCUUCUGUACUUCCACCACAGUUCAUCUGGGUCAUGCACACAGAAGCAUCUGGAAUAUUGGCCCCUGAAUAAGGGAAUUAUUUCCCUUUUUCUAAAAAGCCAUCAAAAAUUAGCCCUGGCCUCCCUCCAGCCCUUCCAUCCCAGAUAGCAACAAUGCCUUAGUUCACGUACCAAUAAGACUUUCCUUGGCAAAAAUCAGGGAAAUGGAACCUCCUCUGAAUGCACUUCUGUUACUGUUUGACAAAAAUGACAAACGCUUCACAAUCAAAAAUGCAGCAAAAACUGUGGCAUUUUGGCAGCCCUUAGAAGUGUCUUUGCCACAUUUUCAUCUGAGCUUCAACCUGAGAGAAGAGAAAGCCAUAGCAAAAACUGAUAAAAAGCCAUGCCUGUGCGAGACAAACACAGCGAACUGAGAGAUUACAUUCUUGCACUCUGGUGAAGUUUUUCCCUUAAACAGCACCCUGAAUAAAGAAAAUUCUGCCAUUGAGGAACA